AAAGUAACAUAUAAUAAAAGUCACCUUUCUUUAUUUAAAAAAAUUUAUUUUAUUUAUUUAUUUGUGGCUGCGUUGGGUUUUCGUUGCUGUGCGUGGGCUUUCUCUAGUUGCGGUGAGCGGGGGCUACUCUUCACUGUGGUGCGCAGGCUUCUCAUGGCAGUGGCUUCUCUUUGUUGUAGAGCACGGGCUCUAGGCACACGGGCUUCAGUAGUUGCGGCACGCGGGCUCAGUAGUUGUGGCUCAUGGGCUCUAGAGAGCAGGCUCAGUAGUUGUGGUGCACGGGCUUAGUUGCUCCGCGGCAUGUGGGAUCUUCCCGGACCAGGGCUCGAACCUGUGUUCCCUGCAUUGGCAAGUGGAUUCUUAACCACUGUGCCACCAGGGAAGUCCAAAAGUCACUUUUCUUAGUGGAACAAAACCGGAACUUCCAAGGUGAAAAGUGGAAAGAGAAUCUCCUUGAUGGAGUCAGAGACUCUGUUCCUGAGAAGCACUUUUGCAUCAAAGUCUCAUUAAGUCUUGCUGCUGCCACUGUGCCCUCCAUACGGACUGCUCUCCCCAGCUGUGGCCUAAAGUCCCCCUAUGAUACUCUGAGGCACAGCUGACACAAAGCUGAUGGUUCAAAAAACUUUACCAAAGGUCGAUGGAUUACAAAAGAGAAAUAAAAAGAUACACCAUAAUUUGAGUACUCCUAAUCAGAUAGAGCUUAUCUCUGGAGUUCAUAGGCCCCAUCCUUCCUUACAUGGAAUUCUGCAGAAAUGGAAAGGCCUCUCCUGGGUCCUGUCUACUGAUUUCUAGCCUACCCCCAAUGAGGGCAGAAAUUAGCUUAAUAUACACCAUUUGGGAGUGCCCCGGCACCUAACCCAAUGGAGAGCACCUGAGUUCCCCAUCCUGCCACAGAUCUGGAUUCUUAUGUGAUGGCAUGCAUUUCCCUUCGGGAUUGACUCUGGGGGUGAUCAUGCCAGGGCAGUCCUACCUUAACCUAGUAAUGCAGGAGCCACCAAAUACACAGGACAAAAGGUAAAAAAAGUUCACGGUAACAAGGCGGGGGUCAUUUGCAAAUUGCAGUUAGUCUAGAAACUGAGUAUGAAAGAUACCAGGAGCUUUGGUUUAUACACAAAAUAAUUCUCAGGACAUAGGUUACAGGACAUAGGUUAAAUAAGAAGAAAUGGCAGUAUUCUGAUUUAAGAAGUAGUCUUCUAAUUUUUACUUGUGCAUUCAACUGAGUUUAAUUAAAUCUUUGUGUUAUUUUUCAUCGGUCUUUCUUGGAUUUCAGAUAGAGUAACCACCACCAUCCUGGUUUACCUAGGACUGAGAGGUUCCUAAACUCAGGACUUUCUGUGCUAAAAGCAACAGUGCUGGUCGAACCAGAACAGCUGUCACUCUGAUUACAGCCCUGACUGAGAACCUACUUAAACUAUGAACUCUCUUCCAAGGAAGAGGCACAUAUACUUGAUAUGUUGUGUAAAGUUUCAUGAACUACCUGAAACCCACUUGUGAGCCCCCAGAUGUUCAUGGAGCGUGGGUUAAGAAAUCCAGACUUAUAUAAAUACAUUUUGGAUUUUUAUGUAAACUUAUUUAACUCUGUAUUUCCUGAAGUAAAAUCAUACUUUAUUCAAAGGGUCAAAUCCAAUUACCUUUUUGAGAUUUUAUAUUAUUUUAUUUUAUUUAUUUAUUUAUUUUGGGCCACAUGGCAUGUGGGAUCUUUGUUCCCCAGCCAGGGAUUGAACCCUUGCCCACUACAGUGGAAGUGCAGAGUCCUAACCACUGGACCACCGGGGAACCCCUAGAUUUUAUAUAAUUUUAAAUCAAGAUUUACUUUGGUAUUUUUCCUUUUCAGUCAUAUCUAGAGACCGUGUUGGAAAAUAUCAAGAAGAGAGGAAGAACAGAAAGAUUUACUUGAUGUUGAGAAGUGACUGGAAGGAUUCAGAAAUUUGAGAGAAGAAUUUGAAAAAUAUGACCCAGAAAAAAUAGGCCACUCCACGGGGCAGCUCACAGCACAGCAGCUGGCCUCCCUCAGAGCAAGCAAGCAAGACAGAGAAAGUACCCAAGAAGGAAGCCUCAGUCUUCUUAUAACCUCAUUUUGGAAGAAAUGUCCCAUGAUGUUGCCAUAUUCUGUUUGUUACAGCAAGUCACUGUGUCCAGCCGACGUUCAAGGUUGGAAAGAAAGAUUUCAGUCCGGAAAAAGUUUGACUUACAUCUGCAGGAGGAAUACUCUGACAAUUUCCUGUAGAGAUACAACCUUGUAAAUAGUCCCAAUGGCAUUAACUAUUUGGAUCGUCUGAGAAAGGUGCAGGAUCACAAUGAGGAAGGAAGAGAUCACACACAGAAUCCCCCCCAAGCCCAUCCACAUGCUCCAUGUUGUUAUUUCCUUUCUUCUAAUCCACUAAGUCCUACCAGACUGGUGAUAAACUUUCAAGGAGACUCAGCUCCGUAGGUU